rnacentral:rRNA from 1 species
UAGGGAAUCUUCGGCAAUGGACGAAAGUCUGACCGAGCAACGCCGCGUGAGUGAAGAAGGUUUUCGGAUCGUAAAACUCUGUUGUUAGAGAAGAACAAGGACGUUAGUAACUGAACGUCCCCUGACGGUAUCUAACCAGAAAGCCACGGCUAACUACGUGCCAGCAGCCGCGGUAAUACGUAGGUGGCAAGCGUUGUCCGGAUUUAUUGGGCGUAAAGCGAGCGCAGGCGGUUUCUUAAGUCUGAUGUGAAAGCCCCCGGCUCAACCGGGGAGGGUCAUUGGAAACUGGGAUACUUGAGUGCAGAAGAGGAGAGUGGAAUUCCAUGUGUAGCGGUGAAAUGCGUAGAUAUAUGGAGGAACACCCGUGGCGAAGGCGGCUCUCUGGUCUGUAACUGACGCUGAGGCUCGAAAGCGUGGGGAGCAAACAGG